rnacentral:rRNA from 1 species
UACAGAGACUGCAAGCGUUAUUCGGAUUCACUGGGCGUAAAGGGUGCGCAGGCGGCCAAGUGUGUGAGGCGUGAAAGCCUGGGGCUUAACUCCAGAAUUGCACCUCAAACUACAUGGCUAGAGCAUUGGAGAGGGUAGCAGAAUUCACGGUGUAGCAGUGAAAUGCGUAGAUAUCGUGAGGAAUACCAGAGGCGAAGGCGGCUACCUGGACAAUUGCUGACGCUCAGGCACGAAAGCGUGGGGAGCAAACGGG